CUGUCCUUUCAGGCACCCUGCAGCACUUGUUCUGAAUAUAUAUAUAUAUAUAUAUAUAUACAUAUAUAUAUAUAUAUGUAUAUAUAUAUAUAUAUAUAUAUAUUCAGAACAAGUGCUGCAGGGUGCCUGAAAGGACAG
rfam:Symbiodinium microadriaticum strain CCMP2467 Smic.scaffold280, whole genome shotgun sequence.